UACGAAGGGGGCUAGCGUUGCUCGGAAUUACUGGGCGUAAAGGGCGCGUAGGCGGACAGUUUAGUCAGAGGUGAAAGCCCAGGGCUCAACCUUGGAAUUGCCUUUGAUACUGGCUGUCUUGAGUUCGGGAGAGGUGAGUGGAAUGCCGAGUGUAGAGGUGAAAUUCGUAGAUAUUCGGCGGAACACCAGUGGCGAAGGCGGCAUCCUGGACCGACACUGACGCUGAGGAGCGAAAGCCAGGGGAGCAAACGGG
rnacentral:rRNA from 1 species